UGCCAUGUCCAGCAAUGCGGCAGAAUCUUUUCCCACCCCACUGUGGCUGUUGCCAUGGCAACAAGCUGUGGUUUCUGGAAUUGAAAAGUUGAAUGUGACAGGAAGUGUGCGUGUCUGCGGGAGGAUCAGGAGGAGCAAUGAUGGGAUAAUGAGGGACAUGAGGAGCAGGAGCAAUUGCAAGAAAAGCAACACUGGGAUAAUGAGUGGGGUCUGGAGGAGGUGGAGGAGGAGUGCCAUUGUUUAAUGAAGGAGGUGGGAACCAAUAGUACUAGGAGACACAGGAGGAGCGGAGCGAGUGGGGGUGGGAUAAUUUGUGAGGAGAAGAAGGAAUAGCCGAAGCAAGAGGAGUUGGGAGGCAGAAAGAGCAUGGUGAAUGGGAGGAGAAGUGGUGUAAUAAUAAGGGAGAUGAGGUGCGGAAGGAGCAGUGGUGGGAUGAAAAGGUGGUGUGGAUCAGUUGGGGGAGUGGGAAGAAGGGGCUACAAGAGCAGUGACCAUUUUAAAUGGAGGGAGGAGUAGGACGAGUGGUUGUGGGAUAAUAGAGGAAGUGAGGAGGAGAAGAAGGAGCAGAAGCAGGAGGAGUGAGGAAACAAAAAGAGUAGAGUGAAUGAGAGGAGAGGUGUAAUAUGGAGAAAAAGGCAGAUGAGGAAAAGGAGGAGUAGUAAUGGGAAGAAAAGGAGGUGCAGAUAAGUGGGGGGAGUGAGAUGAGAAGAGGCUGCAAGAGCAGUGACCACU